UAGAAGGGAGCUUGCUCCGGAUGUUCCGGCGGACGGGUGAUUAACACGUGGGUAACCUGCCUGUAAGACUGGGAUAACUCCGGGAAACCGGAKCUAAUACCGGAUAGUUCCUUGAACCGCAUGGUUCAAGGAUGAAAGACGGUUUCGGCUGUCACUUACAGAUGGACCCGCGGCGCAUUAGCUAGUUGGUGGGGUAAUGGCUCACCAAGGSGACGAUGCGUAGCCGACCUGAGAGGGUGAUCGGCCACACUGGGACUGAGACACGGCCCAGACUCCUACGGGAGGCAGCAGUAGGGAAUCUUCCGCAAUGGACGADWUCUGACGGAGCAACGCCGCGUGAGUGAUGAAGGUUUUCGGAUCGUAAAGCUCUGUUGUUAGGGAAGAACAAGUGCGAGAGUAACUGCUCGCACCUUGACGGUACCUAACCAGAAAGCCACGGCUAACUACGUGCCAGCAGCCGCGGUAAUACGUAGGUGGCAAGCGUUGUCCGGAAUUAUUGGGCGUAAAGGGCUCGCAGGCGGUUUCUUAAGUCUGAUGUGAAAGCCCCCGGCUCAACCGGGGAGGGUCAUUGGAAACUGGGAAACUUGAGUGCAGAAGAGGAGAGUGGAAUUCCACGUGUAGCGGUGAAAUGCGUAGAGAUGUGGAGGAACACCAGUGGCGAAGGCGACUCUCUGGUCUGUAACUGACGCUGAGGAGCGAAAGCGUGGGGAGCGAACAGGAUUAGAUACCCUGGUAGUCCACGCCGUAAACGAUGAGUGCUAAGUG
rnacentral:rRNA from 1 species